rnacentral:lncRNA from 1 species
UUUAUUACGUCACUACAACUGCGGCUAACUUCGCGUCUAUUUACUUUUUUUACGUUUCCCGUAAGAUCCAUGCUUUUGGCACUUUGUUUGAUCUAAAUAUGGUAUUUGGAAUUGUUUCAUUACAUUUAAAAUGAUUAAAAUAUAUUGCAUUAAUGCACAAACUUGAAUUUUCAACUUUAUCGCAGAGAAACUGUUGAAAAAUAGUGUUUAUUAUUCAAAGCUUCUAAAUUUGGUAUAGAGCGGCCCAUGAGGUUUCGACUAGAAAUAUCCAAUCAACAGACAAAAACGUUAAUACAGACAAGGUCAAGGGGAAAUAGAAAUCAAAUUAUGAGUAGAGGGAGGUGUUGAAACUGAGGUGCUUCUAGCUGAUGCUGUUAGGGAACAGAAGCAAUCCGAAACCAUAUAAAAGAAAUCGAAAAUUAAGAUUUACAAAACCAUCAUUAUACAAAAUUUGUAGUGGGCUUAAAGCCAAAAAAUGUUUUGUUAGUGUAGGUAAUAUGUAUUUAAAAUUCGUAAAAACAUAUUUUUCUUCCUUUGUUUUGUAAAAACUUAAAAGAUAUCCUUCGUAUAUUUCGCAAUUGACAGUCUGUUAUAUUAUAAUAUAUUUCUAAUCUUUCCAAGAAGCUACUAUAGGUGAUAUCACGCGAGCUUAUGAACUUUCCACAUAAAAAUUGUAUAUCACUAAAAGCUUAUAAGAUAUUUUUCAUUUGAAAUUAAUUUAUUACUAAUUUUGUGAAGAAAAGAUUGUUUUGUAAGUAUGACAGUGAUUAUAUCGGCCCCUUUCCUAUUAGUCCGAUUAGUAUGGGCUCACUAGCUAAGAAAAAUAUUAUCUUUCCUAAUUUCGCACAAUCUUACUUGAAAUAGUCCCCUUAUAACAAAAGUGCAUGUUGCCAAAAGAACAUGAUUAAGCAAAUUGCAAAAAAUUUAGAUCCCGAAGGGUUUAAACAAUAUUUGACCAUCUUCUCUUGGCAACAUUCACUUUUGUUAUUAUGGACUGUGGCUAUUUUUAUGUGAAUAUUUUUCCUAGCCACUGCGCCCAUACUAGCCUGGUUUCUAUUAAAUUGAAGCAAAUAAAACUAUAUUUACCUUUAGUUGGCGUUUUCUUAAACUUAUCGUUUUACAGUUCUGAGACCAACAGAAGAUUCAAAACCUGAUUUUAAGCCUUCUAGUGUCAUCCCAUUCCUCGAUAAUGAUAGAUAGAAGUGAUUUAUUAUUUUUACUAGGAAUAAGCCAAAUUUUACUUUAAAAUAAGUUUUAUAAAAUUGUAACUUACUCCUAGUAAAAAAAAAUAAUUGCAUUAAGAUGCCAUAAUAAAAUAGCAGUGAUGAUUAACCAAUACAAUAAUUUUUAAACGAAUUCACAAUCCAAAUGUAAUACAGAUGAUCCCAAACCUUUUUUUCAGUGCGUCAUCGUUUGUCGAAUUCGCUCUAACGCAUUAAGCUCGACGUGGCAGAAAAAAAACAUACGUCCGUGUUUAUUGUACAUAAAACUUCAAAAAUUACGUAAUCGUUGAAGGGUAUUUCCAUAUUAAAGCUACUUAUACUUAUAGAUGUAUAAUUGGUUGACAAUUACAAUACAUACUCUAAAUAGAUAGCCAAUCCAUGAUGUGAAUAAAGAUAAUUUGAAACAAAAAUAAUCUAUGGUGCCAGUAGGUUUCACAAUUUUAACGGAUAAAAUGACAAUUAUUUUAAUUCUAGGUUACAAAUUUGUCAAUAUAAAUAUCAGUGUAUCAAUGUCAACGUAAAUAUAAAUAUUUUAUGUCAUUGGUAUAUUCGGACAUUGUAUAGUGAGCUUGUACUCUAUAUUUAUUUAUUUUUUUCUUAAAAUAUUUUAAAUAUUAAUAUUCUGGCAAAUAUUUAUAUAAAUAUUAAUAUUUAAUGACGUCAAAAUUAAUGACGCACUGAAAAAAGGGUUUGGGAUCAACAGUACAUUGUUCGAACAUAAUAGAUUAAUGUUCUCAAAAAAAUAUUGUUAUAUUUAAACAAGUAAAUUUACGCACGACCUUCUUAAAAAAAUAUGAGUUUCAAUUUCAGUAUUAUUUACAAGUAACAACUAACACCCUCACAAGCAUAUAUAUAUUUUUCAUACAGUCGAACCUCCGAGAGAAUACUUAUGCGUCUCUAUUUUUAUUAAAUUUACUAUUUUACUUUGAAAAUAAGCCACAACUUAAGUUGGAAAUUAAAUUUGUUGACGUUUUGAGUUCCACUUCGGAAAUCGUUAUCGAAAUACAAAAUAUUAAUAAAUUAAACAAAUAUUGUUUAUGUUGCUUAUUCAAAAAAAAA